rnacentral:rRNA from 1 species
UACGUAGGGGGCAAGCGUUGUCCGGAUUUAUUGGGCGUAAAGAGCGUGUAGGCGGCUUUGCAAGUCCGUUGUGAAAACUCGAGGCUCAACCUCGAGACGCCGGUGGAAACCGUAAAGCUAGAGUCCGGAAGAGGAGAGUGGAAUUCCUGGUGCAGCGGUGAAAUGCGCAGAUAUCAGGAGGAACACCCGUGGCGAAAGCGGCUCUCUGGGACGGUACUGACGCUGAGACGCGAAAGCGUGGGGAGCAAACAGG